rnacentral:rRNA from 1 species
GUGAGUAACACGUGAGUAACCUGCCCUUGACUUUGGGAUAACUUCAGGAAACUGGGGCUAAUACCGGAUAGGAGCUCCUGCUGCAUGAUGGGGGUUGGAAAGUUUCGGCGGUUGGGGAUGGACUCGCGGCUUAUCAGCUUGUUGGUGGGGUAGUGGCUUACCAAGGCUUUGACGGGUAGCCGGCCUGAGAGGGUGGCCGGCCACAUUGGGACUGAGAUACGGCCCAG